GAUGAACGCUGGCGGCGUGCCUAAUACAUGCAAGUCGAGCGAACAGAUGAGGAGCUUGCUCCUCUGACGUUAGCGGCGGACGGGUGAGUAACACGUGGAUAACCUGCCUAUAAGACUGGGAUAACUUCGGGAAACCGGAGCUAAUACCGGAUAAUAUAUUGAACCGCAUGGUUCAAUAGUGAAAGACGGUUUUGCUGUCACUUAUAGAUGGAUCCGCGCCGCAUUAGCUAGUUGGUAAGGUAACGGCUUACCAAGGCAACGAUGCGUAGCCGACCUGAGAGGGUGAUCGGCCAGACUGGAACUGAGACACGGUCGAGACUCCUACGGGAGGCAGCAGUAGGGAAUCUUCCGCAAUGGGCGAAAGCCUGACGGAGCAACGCCGCGUGAGUGAUGAAGGUCUUCGGAUCGUAAAACUCUGUUAGUAGGGAAGAACAAAUGUGUAAGUAACUAUGCACGUCUUGACGGUACCUAAUCAGAAAGCCACGGCUAACUACGUG
rnacentral:rRNA from 1 species